CUCCCGGUCCCAUAGAAGGAAAGGAGCAUUGCCAUCCAAGUCCACAACCCUAACCUUAAUUCUGAAGCAUAGUACCACUCUGGAUCAUCAAUGAAUACAAUCCUAGCUGCCACCCAAAAAUCGCCAAACUGCAUCAUAUGAAAGAAUGUAUGUGGACAAAAACACAAGACCUGAAAGCAAAUUAGUGGACUGCUCACUGGUGGAAUAUCAACAAUUAGUGGACUAUCAACAAUUAACACCAUAGCUGAAAGAG